rnacentral:tRNA from 1 species
GCCCUUGUAGCUCAGUUGGUAGAGCAUCUGAUUUGUAAUCAGAGGGUCGGCGGUUCGAGUCCGUCCGGGGGCACCA